UACGUAGGGUGCGAGCGUUAAUCGGAAUUACUGGGCGUAAAGCGUGCGCAGGCGGUCUUGUAAGCCAGAUGUGAAAUCCCCGGGCUUAACCUGGGAAUGGCAUUUGGGACUGCAAGGCUGGAGUUUGGCAGAGGAGACUGGAAUUCCUGGUGUAGCAGUGAAAUGCGUAGAUAUCAGGAGGAAUACCGAUGGCGAAGGCAGGUCUCUGGGCUAUAACUGACGCUCAUGCACGAAAGCGUGGGGAGCAAACAGG
rnacentral:rRNA from 1 species